GGAUUGCCUCGUGGUUAGGGUGUUUGACUCCCAGCCAAAAUGUUGUGGGUUCAAACCCACAUGUCCA